GCACGUGACUGACGAGGAGAGGCUGAGGGAACUGGGCUUAUUUAGUCUGCAGAAGAGAAGAGUGAGGGGGGAUUUGAUAACUGCUUUCAACUACCUGAAAGGGGGUUCCAAAGAGGAUGGCUCUAGACUGUUCUCAGUGGUAGCAGAUGACAGAACAAGGAGUAAUGGUC